rnacentral:rRNA from 1 species
UACGGAGGGGGCUAGCGUUGUUCGGAAUUACUGGGCGUAAAGCGCGCGUAGGCGGACCUGCAAGUCGGGGGUGAAAGCCCGAGGCUCAACCUCGGAACUGCCUUCGAUACUGCGGGUCUCGAGUCCGGGAGAGGUGAGUGGAAUUCCGUAGUGUAGAGGUGAAAUUCGUAGAUAUUAGGAAGAACACCAGUGGCGAAGGCGGCUCACUGGCCCGGUACUGACGCUGAGGCGCGGAAAAGCGUGGGGGAGCGAACAGG